AUUUAAAUAGCUUAUUAGAGCAUAAUAUUGAAGAUAUUAGGGUGAUUUUUUAAAAUCUUUGAAUA
rnacentral:tRNA from 1 species